GCUGAACCAACUACAGACCCUUCGGGCUCAGCUGGGAGGGAUUUACUGGAGAAUUUCAAUCAUGGGUUCUUGGCUCAAACAUGUUGCUUCCCCCAAAAUCUCUCCACAGGAGUCUGAUGCUUGUGGAACCAAGGCUUGAAGGAGGGACUCUGAUGACCUCAGAACUCAGAAUUCUACCCGGGCCUGUCAGACAUCUCCCAGCCCCUCACUUGGAGGAAGGGAGCACAGAAGAGCAAGAAAGACGCAGGUUCCGGAGACAAUGCAGAGGUGCGGGAAUCCGUUCACUCCUAAGGAGCUGCUUAGAAAUAAUUCCACCUUCACCGCCACCCCCUACCCCUGCAGGGGCACGUUCGGACAGGUGUCUGCAUCUCUGCGGUGUAAGUCCCCGUUGGUCCUGGAGCUGGGGGAAGUCUGGGAAGGAAUCGGAGAAUCCCGAUGGGUAGAAUGAGACACCGAAGCCACGGAGACGUGCCGUUUUUCUUAAGCCGCGUGGCUUGCCUCCCCCAAGGCGGUCCCUCAGCAUUUUUCAGAUGAAGGAGCCCACACCCUUCCACGGGAGCCACGCCAAGAAGGUCCUGGGACAGCGGGCCCCAUAUGCCGCUCAUUUUCCUCCCCCGCUGGGCAGGGCUGACUCGUUCCAUUUCUCAGACGGAGAUCUUUGCGAAAAUGAUGGAUAAGCCACGGCCCCAACUGCUGUGGCCCUGGGGAGAAAAAACAUCUUUUGCAGUUUCGAGUAAAGCCUCCCACUUCUCACUUAAUAAGUGCUGAAAGCGGCACAAACAGAAAGAGCCCCAGCUUUCCAUGACUAACAAGAUGACCACAUCAGGCGGCCGCGCUGGGGGGAUAAGAGCGAGCCGGCCGAGCGUCCCCGGAGUGAGGAGUCCGGUUCCCUCCCAAGAUGCUCCGCCAACAGGGCUUUGAAGGCCAGGCCUGCCGGCCGAGCUCCGGCGCUCCGACGAGCGGAGGGGGGCAAGGGCCGGGCCUCCCUCCUGCACGAUGGGCACAGAUUGCCCGAGAUAAAGGAACCACAGCUUCAUCCAACUUGUGCUGAUUCGCUCUUUUCAAAAGCCCUUUCAGAUGGUUUCACUUCUCCGCGCGCUUUGUUGAAAGAUGUAAAAAUUUCAAACCACCACAAAGUAAACAUUUCAAAACUCGCUCUUUUCAAAAUCAGUCACAUUUUCAAAAAUCCCUUGAAUUCCAUCUCUCUGCACCGCCCCCCCCCUUUUGCUCUCUUUGGAUUUGAGUGUUUUUCAUUAAUUUAGGAGCAGUCCAGGUAAAGCUGGUGUUUGCGAGCCGUGUUUUACGGGCGGGAAGUAGCUUUGUUAUUUAAGAGAUGUAUUAGAUAAGUCGGUGUCUUGUCAAAAUCAAGCAGGUUUUCUUUAUUAGGGUGAAAUCGUAAUGAACUCAUCUGCUUCUAAUAUUUAUAAAGAGAAGAGAGGCCAUUAAUUCUACUGCUCGUGAAUAAAACCAUCUGUGAUUUCUUUCCAUUUGAUGGGUUUUGGUUUUAAUAUACAUUUUUCACAAAUAAGCGCAGGGAUUUUUUGGUGAAAAUGUCACAUUCAGGAUCUCAUAAAGAAAGAAUGCAAAGAGAGGAAAACGAAAUGUUUUGUUAGCUAAGUAAUUUCUCACCUUGCAGAGUGGGGAACAUUUGAGCCAACUUUAGCACAUUAGGUGAUAGAAUCGCCCGUUCAACGCUAAUGCAAUCCAUGACAUGUUACAAGGCAAACCGCGUCCGUUUUGAAGUUUGUUUUCCUUCGGGAAUUACACAGUUCAUUUAACCUAAUCUGUCCUGACACUUGAAUUAUAAUAUUAUGAGCUUCUUCAGGGAAGUAAAACAGUAGUUGCCUGCUUAAAAGCAAAGCAGAAGUUAAUAAAGUGGGCAAAAUGUCAAGGAAAAGGGGCUAAUCGAAUCAUGGUGUCAUUCUCUAGAGAAAAUACAGUCAAGUUGUAUUUUUUUUUCCAGUGGAAAUCUUGGACGCCUAAUGACAUAUUUCUGUCCAGGAAGAAAUCUGAACUCUGAAACCGAACUUGAUUAAACCCCAAACUGCAAGACCUUGCCCAAUGGGACCACUCGGGGACUUUGACUUCUGGGUGUCAGAGCUUAAUUAAAAUAUUCAUCCAGCUGCUCUCCCCUCACCAAGGGGGCCCAGAGGAAUUAAACCAAUAAGCUUAAUUCUAUUAGUUCACCUGCCUGUGUACACAGAGAUGCAGAAAGACCAUUUACUGGUUCAGAAAAAAUCAUCAGACCCACCCUGUAAAUGCAGCAUGGGCCGUCACUGCAUCACCAAACGGUCCCCCAAACGGAGGUCCGCACAGCACUCUGGAGUCGCAACUCCCGACUCCAAACAUACACAGCUAUUUUUAAUCUCUCUUCCAAGAAAAUGAAAAUGCCAAGCAAGUCGUUAGAAGGACUUCUGCG
rnacentral:lncRNA from 1 species